UUGGAAACCUUUGCAAUACGGAAAUUACCAGUGAAAUGUAAGAACUGAAAUGCAAGAACUAAAAUGGUGUGCAAAGCCCCUGUUAAAUCACUUUACUUAGCAUGGCUUUUGUUUACGUUAAGCUUGUAAUUAACACCCCUAAACAAGUUUAUUCACCUGGGCUAAUUGUCUGUUUAUCCCCAAGCUUCCAGCACUCUCGUCUUUGCGAUAAGCAGCAGGGGACAAGCUCCUCUAUACUGACGAACCAUUAGCUCCGUCUUUGUUUAUUUAAUUCCAGCCCGCCUGACAUCACAAUACUGGCAGUCGUUAACAACAUCGCGUGAUUUACUCAAGAAGUGUUACUUAAACCUAACCUGGAAAUAUUGAUUUGAUGUUUUUGGGUGGAGUGACCAGAGAGGUACUACACUUCGUGCCUAAUUUCGGAGCUACUUCUCUCGAGUGAGACAGACAAACACGUGUGGCGUCAUAGUGUGAGACACUGGACCAAGGAGAGUCGGUCUAGGUGAAAAGCUAAGAGAUUCUUGCGGCUGUUUCUGCGUUACCAGGUUUUCUACUGCACGUGUUCUUAAAUGGACCCACCGUGGACGCAAUUAGAGCUCUGCCACGCGCACCCAAGUGCCGACAUCAUCUUUGCACCCUUUUUCAUGUUCUCCGCUGCCGGGACGCUGUCUGGCUCACUACUCCAUAAAUCCUGAAAGGGCGAAUGAAGCUUGCACCUUUGUGGAGCCGUCGGGAUGGGGCGCAAAUGCCCCUUUCUGUUUGUUUUUCCAAGCUUUCAACCUCUUCCGAUUUGCGUCGGCCAGGAUUCGUGCAAGAGCGCAAUUUGCAGAUGUGUUAGCAUUUUUGACCCUCUGAGGCACCUUCACAUAUUUUCUGUCGAAUGGAAUAUCAGUCCGAAGUACAUCUUGAGCAAAAGGAUCGAUAGAGGACGUCAGGAGACCUCCGGGAGAAGCAAUGCGCUGCAUCACCGUGACAGGUACAAGACCCGCGCGUUACAUCCACGCCCUAGGGGAGAUAACGUAUCUAAGCAGUACGAGCAUCAACAGGUAGGCUAUGCCCACUUCACUGCUUAGCUAGGGCUUAGGGAAAUGGGAAUUCAAACGGCCAAGGACGCUUGAUCUCAUGUUUUACAAAAGCCCCAUUUUGUAAUUUCUACUCUGGUCGAAUGAAUCAACAUGUAGGAUAAUUAUAGUAAGAUAUCGUAUUCGGCCAUGUUUGUGGCAUUUAUUGGAACUUGUCGUGAGCAUCUUUUUACAGGACAUCACAUUAAUUUGCAUGAUAACUACGGAAAAAAUAUAGGCUCUUUCCCUAUAAAUCCUACGUAUGUUGCAUGCAUUGACAAGGGAAGUCAUCAUAAGAAAAAGUGAAGGGUAUUUUCAGAUAGGUCUUAUUUCUGUGUCCUUAACUCAGUUUGUAUAUCCCUACACGAGGAUCUUUUUAAAAGUAUUCCUGGAGGUUGAACUGUGCCCAAAUGCUAAAAACAGUUGUAUAAUUCCCCUUUUAACGGCGGGUUAGGUUCAGGAAGCAAGUAACAAAGGCCGUGUCUCGAAAGUUUUAGUCUACUCACGAAACCCGGAAGUUUGAUUUACCCUUUUGACG